UACGUAGGGUGCAAGCGUUAAUCGGAAUUACUGGGCGUAAAGCGUGCGCAGGCGGUUCUAUAAGACAGAUGUGAAAUCCCCGGGCUCAACCUGGGAACUGCAUUUGUGACUGUAGAGCUGGAGUGCGGGCAGAGGGGGAUGGAAUUCCGCGUGUAGCAGUGAAAUGCGUAGAUAUGCGGAGGAACACCGAUGGACGAAGGCAAUCCCUUGGACCUGUACUGACGCUCAUGCACGAAAGCGUGGGGAGCAACAGG
rnacentral:rRNA from 1 species